ACAACAGGUGGAGCCUGCGGUUUAAUCGGACUCAACGCCGGGAAACUCACCAGAUAAGACAGCUGAAUGAUAGUCGGGCUGAAGACUCUACUUGACUAGCUGAGAGGAGGUGCAUGGCCGUCGUCAGUUCGUACUGUGAAGCAUCCUGUUAAGUCAGGCAACGAGCGAGACCCACGCCAACAGUUGCCAGCUCGUCCUCCGGGAUGGUGGGGGACGACUGUUGGGACCGCCUCUGCUAAAGAGGAGGAAGGAAUGGGCAACGGUAGGUCAGCAUGCCCCGAAUUAUCUGGGCUACACGCGGGCUACAAUGGGUGGGACAAUGGGUAUCGACACCGAAAGGUGAAGGCAAUCUCCUAAACCCAUCCGUAGUUCGGAUUGUGGGCUGCAACUCGCCCACAUGAAGCUGGAAUCUGUAGUAAUCGUGUCUCAAAAUGGCACGGUGAAUAUGUCCCUGCUCCUU
rnacentral:rRNA from 1 species